rnacentral:rRNA from 1 species
GACGAACGCUGGCGGCGUGCUUAACACAUGCAAGUCGAACGGAAAGGCCCUGCUUUUGUGGGGUGCUCGAGUGGCGAACGGGUGAGUAACACGUGAGUAACCUGCCCUUGACUUUGGGAUAACUUCAGGAAACUGGGGCUAAUACCGGAUAGGAGCUCCUGCUGCAUGGUGGGGGUUGGAAAGUUUCGGCGGUUGGGGAUGGACUCGCGGCUUAUCAGCUUGUUGGUGGGGUAGUGGCUUACCAAGGCUUUGACGGGUACCCGGCCUGAGAGGGGGACCGGCGUCCAGAGGACUGAGGGAGGCACCAGACGGGUACGGGAGGCAGCAGUGGGAAAUAUUGCACAAUGGGCCGAAGCCUGAGACGAAGACGCCGCGUGCGGAAUGCCGGCCUUCGGGUUAAGAACCGCUUUCGCCUGUGACGAAGCGUUAGUGACGGUAAUGGGUAAAGAAGCACCGGCUAACUACGUG